rnacentral:miRNA from 1 species
GGCAACCUAUGUCAUCUGCCACCUCAUUUAUUUUAAUUACAUAAUUUGUUAUAUAAAUAAAAGGAUUUCUUUUUCUUUUUUCUUUUUUCUUUUUUCGGUGUGAGAUUCUUUUAUUUAUAUAACAAAUUAUGUAAUUAAAAUAAAUGAGGUGGCAGAUGGCAUAGGUUGCC